UGGGGGAAUUUUGGACAAUGGGCGAAAGCCUGAUCCAGCAAUGCCGCGUGUGUGAAGAAGGCCUUCGGGUUGUAAAGCACUUUUGUCCGGAAAGAAAUCCUUGGCUCUAAUACAGUCGGGGGAUGACGGUACCGGAAGAAUAAGCACCGGCUAACUACGUGCCAGCAGCCGCGGUAAUACGUAGGGUGCAAGCGUUAAUCGGAAUUACUGGGCGUAAAGCGUGCGCAGGCGGUUUGCUAAGACCGAUGUGAAAUCCCCGGGCUCAACCUGGGAACUGCAUUGGUGACUGGCAGGCUAGAGUAUGGCAGAGGGGGGUAGAAUUCCACGUGUAGCAGUGAAAUGCGUAGAGAUGUGGAGGAAUACCGAUGGCGAAGGCAGCCCCCUGGGCCAAAUACUGACGCUCAUGCACGAAAAGCGUGGGGGAGCAAAACAGGAUUAGAUACCCUGGUAGUCCACGCCCUAAAACGAUGUCAACUAGUUGUUGGGGAUUCAUUUCCUUAGUAACGUAGCUAAACGCGUGAAGUUGACCGCCUGGGGGAGUAC
rnacentral:rRNA from 1 species